GCAUUCUUGACCAAGGCUUUUGGAACUCACUGGAUGAAUCAGAAUCAGAAUCAGAGAAUGUAGACAAUCAGGUCCAAAGAAGUGAUGAAAUUUCAGCCAAGGAGAGGAUCAGACGGUUGUCCUUGCUUUCAGGGGGUCCCAAUUGGGACUGGGAUGAGAACUGGACCUCAGUUAGAGGCAAUUACAGAGAAGACCGUGAUACAGUCAUGUACUCAAUUGAAGAUAAAGAAGAUGUGAAUAGUUACAGAUCGGUGCACCAAAAAAGCUACGGUGGUAGUGAGCAAUCAUUGGAGGACUUGUUAGACAGCAAUAUUAAUAAUAGGAAUAGUGGGGAAUUUUUGGGUGCGUGUAAAUAUAAGAGAGAUAAUUUUCUAAUUAGCAGUAAUCUAGAAUUUAAUAGGC
rnacentral:misc_RNA from 1 species